ensembl:lncRNA
AAGCGAUAUCGUUGGUCUUGCAUCAAUUUAUGUUAAUUGGGAACAACACGCUUUGUAUUUAUACCCAACUAAAAGAGUCGCGAAACAUGCGUUGGUGCAGCUCCCUGUUUAUGAACGAAAUUUCCAAAAUGAGGCAUAAACCAAACAGGGAUGUUUUACUUUUGUGUCUUGGCUUUCUUUGUUUCAGCCAAAUAUGCUGUGUAAGCCUUGGAAUCAUGCGAAGACAAGAGAGACACAGAGAGGAAAAAACAGAUGAUGUUAGAGUGGGGACCAUUAUGUUCGGCAGAGGAGAUAUUCCUGGCCCAGUGAAAGGUGAAGGAACUCGACACAUUGGCGAGGACACUGCAGAGGAUGGCUAUAACAUUCAAGCCGACGCUGGUGGGUUGGUGGAUGGACAAGAUGUCAUUGAUGACUCCAGUUCUUCUAAGGCAGCCUGGGCUAGUAUGCGACCAACUGUGUUAUGUACUAAGGACCUCAUGAAGUUCUCGGCACAAGGCCCAGGAUCCUCUUCACUUCAGCUAGACAGAGCAGGAGGAAAACCCCUUUCGCUAAACCAGCUGCCGCAGGACUGUGGUUACUCUGUGUACAGGACUGAACUGGGCCUUCUGUUUCUCAUCCAAUAUGAUGGUUGUGAUGUUAUAAAUCAGGGUGGCAACCAUUUGCUCCAGAUGUUAUGGCAAAGCAAUCCAGUAACCCUUUGUUGCCCUAUGUCAACCCAAGCCUCACAAUCUCCUAUGGAUCCACCACUUCAGCCUACUCCUGCUCCAACGGAAGCAACUUCAUCCACUGCCUCUAUGCUUCCUCCACAAAAUCAGCAACAGUUGAUGCAGCAGCAACAGUUGAAGCAGUCUUACUUCAUGCACCCAGGAUACUCUAACCCUUUCAUGCCAGUGAAGGAUCCCUCCCAAACUACAGAAGCAACUUCAUCCACUGCCUCUAUGCUUCCUCCACAAAAUCAGCAACAGUUGAUGCAGCAGCAACAGUUGAAGCAGUCGUACUUCAUGCACCCAGGAUACUCUAAUCCUUUCAUGCCAGUGAAGGAUCCCUCCCAAACUACUGCAGCUCCAACUACUGCAGCUCCAACUACUGCAGCUCCAACUACUACAGAAGCAACUUCAUCCACUGCCUCUAAGCUUCCUCCACAAAAUCAGCAGCAGCAACAGUUGACGAAGCAGCAACAGUUGAUGCAGUCUUACUUCAUGCACCCAGGAUACUCUAACCCUUUCAUGCCAGUGAAGGAUCCCUCCCAAACUACAGAAGCAACUUCAUCCACUGCCUCUAUGCUUCCUCCACAAAAUCAGCAACAGUUGAUGCAGCAGCAACAGUUGAAGCAGUCGUACUUCAUGCACCCAGGAUACUCUAAUCCUUUCAUGCCAGUGAAGGAUCCCUCCCAAACUACUGAAGCUCCAACUACUGCAGCUCCAACUACUGCAGCUCCAACUACUACAGAAGCAACUUCAUCCACUGCCUCUAAGCUUCCUCCACAAAAUCAGCAGCAGCAACAGUUGACGAAGCAGCAACAGUUGAUGCAGUCUUACUUCAUGCACCCAGGAUACUCUAACCCUUUCAUGCCAGUGAAGGAUCCCUCCCAAACUACAGAAGCAACUUCAUCCACUGCCUCUAUGCUUCCUCCACAAAAUCAGCAACAGUUGAUGCAGCAGCAACAGUUGAAGCAGUCGUACUUCAUGCACCCAGGAUACUCUAAUCCUUUCAUGCCAGUGAAGGAUCCCUCCCAAACUACUGCAGCUCCAACUACUGCAGCUCCAACUACUGCAGCUCCAACUACUGCAGCUCCAACUACUACAGAAGCAACUUCAUCCACUGCCUCUAAGCUUCCUCCACAAAAUCAGCAGCAGCAACAGUUGACGAAGCAGCAACAGUUGAUGCAGUCUUACUUCAUGCACCCAGGAUACUCUAACCCUUUCAUGCCAGUGAAGGAUCCCUCCCAAACUACAGAAGCAACUUCAUCCACUGCCUCUAUGCUUCCUCCACAAAAUCAGCAACAGUUGAUGCAGCAGCAACAGUUGAAGCAGUCUUACUUCAUGCACCCAGGAUACUCUAACCCUUUCAUGCCAGUGAAGGAUCCCUCCCAAACUACUGCAGCUCCAACUACUGCAGCUCCAACUACUGCAGCUCCAACUACUACAGAAGCAACUUCAUCCACUGCCUCUAAGCUUCCUCCACAAAAUCAGCAGCAGCAACAGUUGAUGCAGCAGCAACAGUUGAAGCAGUUGUACUUCAUGCACCCAGGAUACUCUAACCCUUUCAUGCCAGUGAAGGAUCCCUCCCAAACUACUGAAGCUCCAACUACUGCAGCUGCAACUACUACAGAAGCAACUUCAUCCACUGCCUCUAAGCUUCCUCCACAAAAUCAGCAGCAGCAACAGUUGAUGAAGCAGCAACAGUUGAUGCAGUCUUACUUCAUGCACCCAGGAUACUCUAACCCUUUCAUGCCAGUGAAGGAUCCCUCCCAAACUACAGAAGCAGCUUCAUCCACUGCCUCUAUGCUUCCUCCACAAAAUCAGCAACAGUUGAUGCAGCAGCAACAGUUGAAGCAGUCUUACUUCAUGCACCCAGGAUACUCUAACCCUUUCAUGCCAGUGAAGGAUCCCUCCCAAACUACUGAAGCUCCAACUACUGAAGCUCCAACUACUGCAGCUCCAACUACUACAGAAGCAACUUCAUCCACUGCCUCUAAGCUUCCUCCACAAAAUCAGCAGCAGCAACAGUUGACGAAGCAGCAACAGUUGAUGCAGUCUUACUUCAUGCACCCAGGAUACUCUAACCCUUUCAUGCCAGUGAAGGAUCCCUCCCAAACUACAGAAGCAACUUCAU